rnacentral:rRNA from 1 species
ACUCCUACGGGAGGCAGCAGUGGGGGAAUAUUGCACAAUGGGCGCAAGCCUGAUGCAGCCAUGCCGCGUGUGGUUGGAAGAAGGCCUUCGGGUUGUAAAGCACUUUCAGUCGUGAGGAAGGUAGNGUAGUUUAAAUAGCUGCAUAUUUUGACGUUAGCGACNGAAAGAAGACCGGGCUAACUCCGUGCCAGCAGCCGCGGUAAUACGGAGGGUGCGAGCGUUAAUCGGAAUUACUGGGCGUAAAGCGCAUGCAGGUGGUUUGUUAAGUCAGAUGUGAAAGCCCGGGGCUCAACCUCGGAAUUGCAUUUGAAACUGGCGGACUAGAGUACUGUAGAGGGGGGGUAGAAUUUCAGGUGUAGCGGUGAAAUGCGUAGAGAUCUG